GUAACGCGUAAGAACCUGCCCUUGGGAGGGGAACAACAGCUGGAAACGGCUGCUAAUACCCCGUAGGGUGUGGGGCAAAAGGAGAAAUCCGCCCAAGGAGCGGAUCACGUCGGAGUAGCUAGUCGGCAAGCCAUAGCUUCCCAAGCGGACGAUCAGGGGGAUCUGCGACAUUGGGACUGAGACACGGCCCAAACUCCUACGGGAGGCAGCAUUAGGGAAUCUUCCGCAAUGGACGAAAGUUUGACGGAGCAACGCCGCGUGAGUGAAGAAGGCCUUCGGGUCGUAAAACUCUGUUGCCGGGGAAGAACAAGUGCCGUUCGAACAGGGCGGCGCCUUGACGGUACCCGGCCAGAAAGCCACGGCUAACUAC
rnacentral:rRNA from 1 species